rnacentral:rRNA from 1 species
GACGGGGGAAGCAAGCGUUAUACGGAAUCACUGGGCGUAAAGCGGCUGUAGGUGGUGAUGCAAGUCACUGGUGCAAAACUCUGGCUCAACCGGAGGAAAGCCAGUGAAACUGCAUGACUAGAGUGUGGGAGAGGUAGAAGGAAUUCCCUGAGUAGCGGUGAAAUGCGUAGAUACAGGGAAGAACACCGGAGGCGAAAGCGUUCUACUGGAACACAACUGACACUGAGAGACGAAAGCUAGGGGAGCGAAUGGG